CCAAUGCAUUCGUGACCUUGAAUAGCCUGCAGGCUUUCUUCGUGUUUUACACCAGUUUGUUGGAAGAAGACAAAUCUUACUUGGAAGAAGACGUUGCUACGAAGUUACACACGACAGUGGACUCGGGCACAAUAUCAGUUAAGGAAUGAUAAACUCAACGUGGUUCAACCACAGUGCGAGCAGUCGGAAGUUGGUGCCUUACAGAGAUGGUCUUGAGACAACUUAAUUUCGGUUUAUACAUUAUGUUUACCUAUAUAACCAAUAGGGUCGAUAAGCACAAGUUUCUGUAUAAAAGCAAUUCACAUACAGUGGGCCGCCUUUUAAUAAGACGCCACUUACCGCCCCCUUUUCAACUUUACGAUCGACACCGUUAUGAAAAUAUUACCAUUUGGUUGAUCAUUUGUUUUUAUACAAAACCUGAGCAAAUCCCCGUCAUCCGAUUGGUGGAUCGUUGAUCACAUGUCGUUGAAUUAUUCGUCCCCACGCACUGCGCGGCCGCAAAGCAAAAAUACAAGUUCUACAGCACGGUGAAUUGAACUUACAUUGCACGAUUUCAUUACUGUCGGCGGUGGCGCUGUAACACGAAUCCAAUUUUCAGAGUGGUAAAUUGGCGGAAGAUACGCGAGAAUCUCGGUGUGGUUUCCAAAUAGAAGAGGAAAUAUCAGAACUCAAUCGUAGGUGAUUCUGACGCUGCUAACACAAACAAGCACAUAAGAUAUGCUGCCAAACGAUUAGAAUAGAAAUGGGGAAGUUCUGAACUUUUCGAGAACAGUUUCUAAAAUACACAAAUUGGAUAUGAAAGUUCUGAACUUAGUUGUGAAACUUUUUUAACCGAGAUAAAUUGAAUAAUGAUAGGCUAGUUCAGAACGUCUUGAACAGAUUUUUAAUAAAUCGGAUAUUGGAAGUGAACCGCCAGUUAUUGCCAUCUGAAAAAGUAGAACAUUGAUGUAGGUACCAGUUUACCAAACAAUCAGAUAACAAGGAUUUAUGCAGGUGUUAUAUAAAACAAAUAAUACAUGUUUCAAAUUCGUGCAAUGGAAAAAAUAAUUUCAUUCGGUGACAGAUGUAUGUUGCAUUCCACGCGCCUUCGCCUCGUAGAAUGGAACAUUCAUCUCUCACCUCAUGAAAUUAUUCUUACCAUUGCACUCACUAACAUUCAUUGUUUGUAUACCAUUAUUCAAGCGCGGUACUUAUUAAGUCACAAUGCUUUUGGAAGCAUUGUGAAAACUCGUUAUUCACAGAUAGAAUGAACCUGGAACCAUGCGUGUGCAAGGACAAAACGCAGCCCGUUGAAUACUUAACAUGCCCGCAAUUAUUUCCAAGUGGCGCACUGCACCGUGAAUUGCCCAUUAUUGAAGAAAUAUCAAAAAAUGAACAAGUUUAUUUCAAUAUAAAUGUAUAUAUGCUGUAAGUAUUUUAAUGUUGCUGCUUUGCUGAUGUUUUUUUUUUCUGUUGGAAUCCGACGAGUAAUUACUAUGUAUAUUUUCUUCAACUACAAGGUAUAAUGUAGCGCCUUUAGCACUAAUGUGUUGGUGGAUACGUGCGCUUUUAAAAUGACAAUAAUUAUAACAAUAAUGAGUGUUAUUAUUAUCGUCCAUUACCACCCAGUAUCAAGCAAUGAGAUGGAAUUCAAAUCAAGGGUGAACAGGGAAACUGAAGAACAAAGGAUUAUUCAAAGACCAGACUAUAUUUAAGGAGGCCUUAACCCUAAAGGGGCCGG